UCCUCGUUGAAGACCAACAAUUGCAAUGAUCUAUCCCCAUCAUGAUGAAAUUUCAAAGAUUAUCCGGUCCUGUCGGCCAAGGCUAUAAACUCAUUGAAUACAUCAGUGUAGCGCGCGUGCAGCCCAGAACAUCUAAGGGCAUCACACACCUGUUAUUGCCUCAAACUUGCGCGGCCUAAAAGGCCGUAGUCCCUCUAUGAAGCUGGCCGCGAAGGGAUACUUCUGCAUAGCUAGUUAGUAGGCUGAGGUCUCGUUCGUUAACUAAAUUAACCAGACAAAUCGCUCCACCAACUAAGAACGUCCAUGCACCACCACCCAUAGAAUCAAGAAAGAGCUCUCAGUCUGUCAAUCCUUACUAUGUCUGGACCUGGUAAGUUUCCCUGUGUUGAGUCAAAUUAAGCCGCACGCUUCACUGCUGGUGGUGCCCUUUUAUCAAUUCCCUUAAGUUUCAGCCUUUCAACCUCCCCCCCCCCCGAACCCAAAAACUUUGAUUNNNNNNNNNNNNNNNNNNNNNNNNNNNNNNNNNNNNNNNNNNNNNNNNNNNNNNNNNNNNNNNNNNNNNNNNNNNNNNNNNNNNNNNNNNNNNNNNNNNAAGCCUUGCUACCAUACUCCCCCCGGAACCCAAAAACUUUGAUUUCUCAUAAGGUGCCGGCGGAGUCCUUAAAGCAACAUCCGCCGAUCCCUGGUCGACAUCGUUUAUGGUUGACACUAGGACGGUAUCAGAUCAUCUUCAAGCCCCCAACAUUCGUUCUUGAUUAAUGAAAACAUCCUUGGCAAAUGCUUUCGCGAUUGUUCGUCUUUCAUAAAUCCAAGAAUUUCACCUCUGACUAUGAAAUACUAAUUCCCUUGACUGUCCGUGAUAAUAAUUACUCCGAUCCCGAAGGCCAACGUAAUAGGACAGAAAUCCUAUAAUGUUAUCCCAUGCUAAUGUAUACAGACCAUAGUCUUGCUUUGAGAUCUCUAAUUUCUUCAAACUAACAGUGCCGGAGGCACGACCCGGCUAAUUAGGGCCAGGAGCGCAUCGCCGGCAGAAGGGACGAGACGACCGGUGCACACCUAAGGCGGACCGGCCGACCAAUCCCAAAGUCCAACUACAAGCUUUUUAACUGCAACAACUUAAAUAUACGCUAUUGGAGCUAGAAUUACAACGGCUGUUGGCACCAGACUUGCCCUCCAAUGGAUCCUCGUUAACGGAUUUAGAUUGUACUCAUUCCAAUUACCAGACUCAUAAAGCCCAGUAUUGUUAUUUAUCGUCACUACCUUAUCGUGUCAGGAUUGGGUAAUUUGCGCGCCUGCUGCCUUCCUUAGAUGUGGUAGCCGUUUCUCAGGCUCCCUAUCCGAAAUCGAACCCUAAUUCUCCAUCACCCAUCACCGCCAUGGUAGGUGUCACGGGGUCAAUUUUAGCCAAUUCCAAAAUCACGCCCGCGCGGCAGUCAUGUCCCGUGCUUGACUCAGCCUUCCGAAACACUAGCAAUUUUCACAAGUUUGACCUUAGACGAAAUUUAGGCAGCAAAACAGAAUUUAAAGGAACACAAAAUAUAUAAGACAAAUUCCCAAACUUUGUAUUAAUAUAGAAAAUAUACAAAUGACCCUCACUUGCUAUAAACUAUUCGUCCGCUCAUAGUACACAUUUGACUAACAACACCUGGUCGUUCUUUGCCAAACACUAAGAUAUGCCCAUGCACAACCUUAGCCCCUUUUUGGAACACUAGAAAACCCUCACAUUUCUCUCGUGUUUCGCAAAAGCAAUUCCCGUGAACUUACUCUUUUCCCACAAGUGAUUCCCUUCAACUUACUUGACUUUUUCUGCCUAAGUGAAAGGUCCUAUUUAUAGGCCAUUAAGCUUAACCGCCCAUGACACUUGUUGUCUAACAACUUUACAUCAUGCUCCCAACUUGUAGUUGACAUUCCCAACUACUUAGGAUCAUUAUACACGAAAUGGGGCCACUAUACAAACAAUAAUCAGUUCAUGGGAUAAUGGGAGAUCAUGGGAGAUCAUGGACUGCAAACAAGGUAACCGCCGCCAACCGCUCUCCAUGUGCUUUUCAUGUGCCAUAUCCUUGACCAGCUGAGUUUCGCCCCCAAGGAUGCCCGUGCCAUGCCUUAGGUUAAUUAUACAUUGCCCAUGCCAAUGUCUACCCGCAAUCCGCUGACAUAAUAUUUCCGCACAUGCCCGACGCCCAUACACCCGCACACUGCCUUGGCCUAGUUUUCUUCCUUGUCCGUGCCAACCUCAUUUCCUCAUGCAAACCUCAUUUCCCUCAUGCCAUUGUUUGUAUUUCCUUUCAAAUAUCCUAUGCUAUUGCUAUUGAAAGCCUUUGCCGUCAACCCGCAUUUCCACCUCGCCUUAGCUUACCCCGCAAAUAGCUGCCACAACCCAAAAGUGUCAUGCCCACUGAUUUUGGUGAGCAUGCCGUACCAUGCCGCCCCAACAUUGCCGAUCCUGCCUCUCCAAGACUUUUCCAUGUGCACCUUGCCCAUGCCAAAGCCUUGGCCAAUACUUGUUCAUCACAGCCCGUCCAACCCGUAUGAUCGUUUUUCUCGUACAUAGGCCAAUGACAAGGCCAUCACACCCAAAUGCUUGCCACAGCCGUGCCACGUCCGAUGACAAAAUUUAGGGUCCUAACAAACCACCCACACCUUUCGAAAUCGACGUCUUCGUCGAGCUGUCCUAAUUUAUCAACCCCAAGGGGUUGUUGAAAAACACCGCCCCGGGUGCUCCCCUCGCAUCUGCCACUGUGGCAUUUGCCUUCGCCACUUGUUCCUGUCCCUCCGCAGCUAGUAUCGUAUUUACCUUACCCUGCACAUGGCAGUCCCUCUAAAGUGCGGUCCACCACAUGUGAAACAUCCUUUGAAUCCGCUGUUCCUUUCCUUGCCAUUGUGAUUUUCCGGUCUCACAAUCUAGACAAGUUCCCCAUUUUCAGACGCUUGGCCCUUCCCGUUUCUCUUCCAUUCCCUUGAUUUAUCCUUCCUUCCGUCGGACUUUGAAUGCGAAGUUUCAAUAGGUUCCUCACCUAUAUUUAGGUCCGCCAACGCAUCUGCCGCUACAAUGGCAGUAGAGAGGCUUUGCACAUUUUGCCGUCUCAACUCCAAUUGCGCCCAUCCCUUAAACCCGCUCAUGAAGUAAUGCAGCUUGUCUUCCUCUGCCAUUUUACUUACAUUGAGCAUCAAGGACGAAAAUUCCUUGACAUACUCCCUUACCGUGCCACUCUAUUUCAAGUGACGCAGUCCAUCUCGAGCCAUCCAUGACGAGUUUGUUGGAAGGAAUUGGGAUUUUAAUUCCUUCUUCAUAUACUCCCAAGUUCCGAGCCUGGGCAGUCCAGCACCUUCUCCAUCUGCACUUCGUGUACGCCACACCUUUGCAUCGUCCGUCAAGUACAUUGGUGUGAUCACCACCUUUUUGUCAUCCGGCACACGUGCAGCCUGCAAAUACUGCUCCAUAUCCCAAAGGAAAUUUUCCAGUUCCUUGGCACUUCUUGCACCACCAUAAGCCUUAGGCUCCGGGAUCCUCAACUUAGUGCGCUCAUCAUUUGUAGGGGCAAAAUUUUGUAAUGCCCUUCGAAGAUCAGCCACUUCGUUGCGUAAUUCAUCUUUCUCUUGGCCUACCAAGGCCUUUUCUGCCAGCGUCGUCUCGUGUCUUGCUGCAUAAUCUAUCUCCAAACGUGCCAUUCUAGCAAGAAUAGAAGAAUCACCAUCGCUUUCAAGAGCCUGCCCGACUAGUGCUUCCAACUGCUCAACUCUUAGACGCCGCUCCGCAAUUGUGCCACAAGCCAUGUUCUCAAAAGUUCCAACGUAAUUUGCCACUGAUCGUUUCGCCACUUCCACGAACCUGCUCAGCUCUAAUACCAAUUGUCUUGGGGUCAAUAUUAGCCAAUUCCAAAACCACGCCCGUGCGACAGUCAAGUCCCGUGCUUGACUCAGCCUUCCGAAACACUUGCAAUUUUCACAAGUUUGACCUUAGAGGAAUUUUAGGUAGCAAAACAGAAUUUAAAGGAACACAAAAUAUACAGGACAAAUUCCCAACCUUUGUAUUAAUAUAGAAAAUAUACUAAGGACCCUCACUUGCUAUGAACUAUCCGUCCUCUCACAACACACUAUUGACUAAGAACAUAUGGUCGUUCUUUGCCAAACACAAAGAUCUGCCCAUGGACAACCUUAGCCCCCUUUUGGAACACUAGAAAACCCUCAAGUUUCACUCGUGUUUCCCUAGAGCAAUUCCCGUGAACUUACUCUUUUCCUACACGUACUUCCCUUGAACUUACUUGACUUUUUCUGCCUAAGUUAAAGGUCCUAUUUAUAGGCCUUUAAGCUUAACCGCCCAUGACACUUGUUGUCUAACAGCUUUACAUCAUGCUCCUAAUUUGUAGUUGACAUCCCCAACUACUUAGGAUCAUAAUACAUGAAAUGGGGCCACGAUACAAACAAUAAUCAGUUCAUGGGAUAAUGGGAGACAUGGGAGAUGAUGGCCUAACAAAAGGUAACCGCCGCCAACCGCUUUCCAUGUGCUUUUCAUGUGCCAUAUCCUUGACCAGCUCAGUUUCGCCCCCAAGGCUGCCCGUGCCAUGCCUUAGGUUAAUUAGACAUUGCCCAUGGCAUUGUCUGCCCGCAAUCCGCUGCCACAAUAUUUCCGCACAUGCCCGGCGCCCAUACACACACAUUGCCUUGGCCUAGUUUUCUGCCUUGUCAGUGCCAACCUCAUUUCCCUCAUGCCAACCUCAUUUCCCUCGUGCCAUUGUUUGUAUUUCCAUUCCAAUAGCCUAGUCUUAGCUAUUGAAAGCCUUUGCCGUCAAACCGCAUUUUCGCCUCGCCUUAGCUUAGCCCGCACAUAGCUGCCACAACCCAAAAGUGUCAUGCCCACUAAUUUUGGUGCGCAUAUCGUACCAUGCCACCCCAACAUUGCCGAUGCUGCCUCUCCAAGCCUUCUACAAGCGCACCUUGCCCAUGCCAAGGCCUUUGCCAAUACUUGUUCAUCACAGCCCCUCGACCCGAAUGAUCGUUUUUCUCGCACAUAGGCCAAUGACAAGGCGAUCACGCCCAAAUCCUUGCCACAGCCGUGCCUCGUCUGAUGACAAAAGUUAGGGUCCUAACAGUAGGCCCCUAUCCAACCAUCAAAAGUUGGUAGGGCAGAAAUUUGGAUGAUGCGUCGCCGGCUCGAUGGCCGUGCGAUCCGUCGAGUUAUCAUGAAUCAUCGCAGCAACGGGCAGAGCGCUCGUUGACCUUUUAUCUAAUGAAUGCAUCCCUUCCAGAAAUCGGGGUUUGUUGCACGUAUUAGCUCUAGAAUUACUACGGUCAUCCGAGUAGUAGAUACCAUCAAACAAACUAUAACUGAUUUAAUGAGCCAUUCUCAGUUUCACAGUCUGAAUUUGUUCAUACUUACACAUGCAUGGCUUAAUCUUUGAGACAAGCAUAUGACUACUGGCAGGAUCAACCAGGUAGAUCAAACAAACUAUAACUAAUUUAAUGAGCCAUUCGCAGUUUCACAGUCUGAAUUUGUUCAUACUUACACAUUCAUGGCUUAAUCUUUGAGACAAGCAUAUGUCUACUGGCAGGAUCAACCAGGUAGCAUUCCUCAUUGACACCGGCGUCGCAUUAGCGUGUCCGACCCAAAAGGUCACGGCCAAGUCCAAGGCGAGCACGACCAUCAUUCGUAUGGAUCAUUAUUUGGGCAGAUAGGAGCCAAUGAAGGCCCCGUGCCUAUUGCGUUUACCGAAUCUGAGAGCCCGAGCAUGCUAAGUCGGGGACCAAGCCAUCACAAGGCGAAGCCAGGAUGACCUGGUACACAAAUGCAGCUUUUGGUUCUCCCCGCACGUCGAACGCAAGGGGCGAAAGGCAAGCAAUUGUGCUUGAUAAUGCCUUGGCAUUAGGAAUGCAACACACAAAACCGACGUCGAACGAGCCUAAUUUGCUCUUGUGACAUGACUGAGAUGGCAUGCGAGCUUGGACGCUGGUGCUCGAGCAGGGAUCCAACCUAGCCACACAAGAUGAACACCACUCAUGUGUCGCACGUACACUUGCCUCGCCGAUACAAAGCCAACACCAGCUCCAACACGUGACGCGCAGCCAUGUGUUGUUGCCGAUGCCAACAUUGCAAAGCCAAGACAAGCCCUGCAAAGCAUGAUUAGGGGGUUUGAACAAUGCCAGACACAACCCACAAUAAUUGAUGGCAAUAGGCAAUUUAUUGAGCUUCGCCCCAUGCGCAUGCACGUGACAUGCAACCAUGUGUUGUUGCCGAUGCCAACAUUGCAAAGCCAAUACAAGCCCCGCAAAGCACGAAGAGGGGUUUGAGCAAUUCCAGACACAAUGCGCAACAACCGAUGGCAAUAGGCAACUUAGUGAGCUUCGCCCUAUGCGCAUGGCACCUUGCGGCGCUACUUGCACGACGCUUUGUCAUUCCAUUGCGAAAAGACAUCCGCCGCCACGAGCGAUGUCGCCUUCCGAUGUUUCCCGCAACAACUGAUGGCAAUCAGCAACUUACCAAGCGUCACCCCAUGAGCACGGCACCUUGUGGGGCUACUUGCACGAUGCUUUUCCAUUUGUUGCCAAAAGCCAUCAUCCACCAUGAGCGAUGUUGCCUCGCGAUGUUUCCCGCAACAACCGAUGGCAAUCGUCAACUUACUAAGCUUUGCCCCAUGCGCACAGCACCUUGCGGCACUACUUGCACGAUGCUUUGCCAUUUUGUUCCAAAAAACCAUCAGCCGCCACGAGCGAUGUCGCCUCCCGAUGUUGCCCGCAACAACCGAUGGCAAUCAGCAACUUUCUAAGCUUCGUCGCGUGCACAUGGCACCUUGUGGCGCUACUUGCAAGAUGCUUUACCAUUUUGUUGCCAAAAGCCAUCAGCCGCCACGAGCGAUGUCGCUUCAUGAUGUUUCCCGCAACAAUCGAUGGCAAUGAACAUCUACUGAGAUUUGCCCCGUGCGCACGGCACCUUACGGCGCUACUUGCACGACGCUCCUGCGCUCGUUGUCAAAAGCCAUUAGCCGCCACGGAGGGGGGUUUACAGACACAACCCACAAAAAUUGAUGGCAAUACGCAACUUACUAAGCUUCGCCCCAUGCGCACGGCACCUUGCGGCAGUACUUGCACGACACUCCGCCGUUCCAUUGCCGAAAACCAUCAACCACCAUGAGUGAUGUUGUGUGCAACAAUCGAUGGCAAUCGACAUCUACUGAGCUUCGCCCCAUGCGCAUGGCACCUUGCGGCGCUACAUGCACGACGCUUUGUCGUUCUGUUGUCAAAAGUCAUCAGCCGCCACGAGCGAUGUCGCAUCCCGAUUUUGCCCACAACAUCCAAUGGCGAUAAAAAAGUACUAAGCUUCGCCCCAUGCGCACGGCACCCUGCGGCGCUACUUGCAUGACGCUCCAACAUUCGUUACCGAGUUUCAGGAGUAGACAUGUUUUGGCCAGAGAAUCAUAAUAGACAUGUACAAUACCAAAUAGCACAGUCCAAAGUACAACUUGGCUAAUAUAUUCACAAAUGAAUUUUAAACAUUGUAAAUGAUAUUUUUUUUCAAAAAAAAAUAUAUUUCUUGAAAUAUUUUUAUGUAAAGACGAAAAAUAGUUAAUAAAAUACUAAAAAAUAUGAAAGUUAUUAUAAAAAUAUAAAAAAUGAUGGAGAAAAAUUCCAAUACAUCUUGUAAUCGUAUUACAUAUAAAAGAGUAAAUAUUGUUUUUUGAAAUGUGACAUAAAAAUAAUAUAAAAUAACAAAAAAUGCAUAAAAAUUAAUAAAAAAUAUAUUAAAAAAGGAAAAAUACAUAAUAUUAUUAUAAAAGCGUAUAGAUGACCAACCGCCAAUAAGCACGAGGCACCUCCAUUAUCGCAACCACAACAAGGGAUUCCUUGAAAAAACUGAUGCCAACCAUAAAACGUCGACCAACCGUUGCCGGUGGAUACUGCUCGAACCGUCGCCGGUGGAUACCGCUCGAACCACCGCGACUUUCCACCACCGCCACCAACGACCACCAACAUCAUUGCGCUUGAAAUGUUGCCCAACCACAACAAGUGAUUAGGAUUUGAAGGAACCGCCAGCAACCACCAAGCGUCGACCGACCAUCGUCGGACGCUACCGCUCGAACCACCCCGACUUUCCACCACCGCCGCCAACGAUCAACAACAUCUUUGCGCUUGACAUGUUUCUAAGCAUUGGCUAGAAAUAGACGUGGUGCGACGUGGUGCGGCUUGGACCGACGUGGUGCGGCUUGGUGCGACGUCGUGCCAUGGACAUGUCCUGACACGUACCAUAGCCAUAUCCUGCCAUGUCUUGCCACGUCCCGACUCGUGCCAUGGCCAUGCCCUAACGUGUCCUGACACGUGCCGCUGCCAUGUCCUGACGCGUCCGGACACGUGCCAUGGCCUUGUCGUGACGCGUCUUGCGACGUCCUGACUCGUGCCAUGGCCACGCCCUGCCGUCUCCUGCCAUCUCCUGACUCGUGCCAUGGCCACGCCCUGCCAGGUACUGCGAUGUCCUUACUCAUGUCAUGGCCACGCCCUGACACGUGCCAUGGCCAUGUCUUGAUGCUUCCUGACUCGUGCCAUUGCCACACCCUUCCAUGUCCUGCGACGUCGUGACUCGUCCUGCCUGUGUCCUGUCAUGUCCUGCGACGUACUGACAUGUCCUGGCCCGUGCCAUGGCCACACCCUUCCAUAUCAUGGGACGUCCUAACUCACGCCAUGGCCACGCCUUGCGUUCGUGGCAUAGGCCUUGGGCUCUCAAGCGACACCCUCACAAAUCUUGUCAUAGGCCUCGACCUCUCAAGCGACACUCCAAAAAGCCUCUAGUAGUGUAAUUUGGUUUGGUAUUUCCCUCGACGUGACUAAGUGUCAAGUCACAUUGUCCACUUGAUGCAUAAAUAGUAUACGUUCCAAGGUCUUGAGGACUUGUUCGAUAUUUCCAACACUUAAUAUAAUAUAGCAUCAAGGUAGGAGUGAACCUCUUAUCGGAAAAGUUAGAAAAUUAUUGGAUUGGAGGGGGAGGGACGAAUUGGAGCGAUAGAGGGCUAAAUCUCAGUAGAUCGUGGCAGCAAGGCCACUCUGCCACUUAUAAUACCCCGUCGCGUAUUUAUGUCAUCUGCAAAGGAUUCUACCCCCCUAUCGAUGGAAAUUGUACUUCAAGGAGGCCAUCGCGGCUCUUCCGCCGCGAUGACUUAGCCAACGACACGUCCCUUUGGUGACAAAGGUCUGAAUCUCAGUGGAUCAUGGCAGCAAGGCCACUCUGCCAGUUACAAUACCCUGUCACGUAUUUAAGUCGUCUGCAAAGGAUUCUACCCGCCGCUCGAUGGAAAUUGUACUUCAAGGAGGCCACCGCGAUUCUUCCGUCGCGAUGACUUAGCCAACGACACGUGCCCUUGGGGGCCAAAGGCCCCUACUGAGGGUUGGCAAGCGGACAACGGGUGCAUGUGCUGCUUGUAGUCCGGAUUCUGACUUAGAGGCGUUCACUCAUAACCCAGCGCACGGUAGCUUCGCGCCACUACCUUUUCAACCAAGCGUCAUGACCAAUUGUGCGAAUCAACAGUUCCUCUCAUACUAGGUUGAAUUACUAUUUCGACAGUGUCAUCAGCAUGGUAAAAAUAACCUAUCUCACGACGGUCUAAACCCAGCUCACGUUCCCUAUUGGUGGGUGAACAAUCUAACACUUGGUGAAUUGUACUUCACACUGAUAGGAAGAGCCGACAUCGAAGGAUCAAAAAGCAACGUCAUUAUGAACGCUUGGCUCCCACAAGCGAGUUAUCCUUGUGGUAACUUUUCUGAUACCUCUAGCUUCAAAUUCCGAAGGUCAAAAGGAUCGUUUGGCCACGCUUUCAAGGUUUAUAUUCGUACAGGAAUUCAGAAUCAAACGAGCUUUUACCCUUCUGUUCCACACGAGAUUUCUUUUCUGGUUGAGCUCAUCUUAGGACACCUGCGUUAUCUUUUAACAGAUGUGUCGCCCCAGCCAAACUCCCCACCUGACAAUGUCUUCCGCCCGAAUCGGCCUGUAAGCAAGCCUUGGGUCCAAAAAGAGGGGCAGUGCCCCGCUUCUGAUUAUCAAAAUAAGUAAAAUAACGUUAAAAGUAGUGGUAUUUAACAUUCGCCUUUCGGCUCCAACCUGACAAUGUCUUCCGCCUAGAUCGGCGUGCAAGCAAGCCGUAGGUCCAAAAAGAGGGGCAGUGCCCGCUUCUGAUAUAAGAAAUAAGUAAAAUAACGUUAAAUGUAGUGGUAUUUCACUUUCUCCUUUCGACUGCCACUUAUACUACACCUCUCAAGUCAUUUCACAAAGUCGGACUAGAGUCAAGCUCAACAGGGUCUUCUUUCCCCGCUGAUUCUUCCAAUCCCGUUCCCUUGGCUGUGGUUUCGCUGGAUAGUAGACAGGGACAGUGGGAAUCUCAUUAAUCAAUUCAUGGGCGUCACUAAUUAGAUGAAGAUGCAUUUGGCUACCUUAAGAGAGUCAUAGUUACUCCCGUCGUUUACCCGCGCUUCGUUGAAUUUCUUCACUUUCACAUUCAGAGCACUGGGUAGAAAUCACAUUGCGUAAACUUCCGCAGGGACCAUCGCAAUGCUUUGUUUUAAUUAAACAGUCAGAUUCUCCUUAUCCGUACCAGCCCUGAGUUGGCUGUUCGACGACCGGGGAAGGCCCUUGAAGGAACCGUUCCCCGUGUAUCCCCCGACCGGCACGCGGCGACCCGCUCUCAACGCAGGAGCAGCUCGAGCAGUCCACCAACAGCCGACGGGCUCGAGACUGGGACCCCCAUUCCCAGCCCUUAUAGCCAAUCCUUUUCCCGAAGUUACGGAUCCAUAUUGCCGACUUCCCUUCCCUACAUUAUUCCAUCGACCAGAGGUUGUUCACAUUGGAUACCUGAUACCGUUAUAAGUACAACCGGGCAUGGACGGCACUCGGUCCACUGGAUUUUCAAGGGCAUUCGGGGGUGGACCAGACAGCACGCGACGUGCGGUGCUCUUCCAGCCGCUAAACCCUACCUCAGACUGAGCCGUUUCUAGGGUUGGCAGGCUGUUAAACAUAAAAGAUAACUCUUGCCGAGGCCCCUGCUGACGUUUCCAGACUUCCUAACGUUUCCAUCAACCACCACGUCCUGGUUUAGGAAUUUUAACCCUAUUCCCUUCCGGAGUACGCACGAAACGCGCUAUCUGUCGGGGUUCCCCGGACCCUUAGGAUCGACCAACCCAUGUGCAAGUACCAUUCACAUGGAACCUUUCCCCUCUUCGGCAUUCAAAAUUCUCAUUUGAAUAUUUGCUACUACCACCAAGAUCUGCACCGACGGCUGUUCCGCCCAGGCUCACGCCCAAGGUUUUGCAGCGACCGUCGCGCCCACCUACACAUCGGGGCCUGGAACUUGCCCCGACAACCGGGUGUAGGUCGGAGCUAGUUGAUUCGCCAGGUGAGUUGUUUCACACGCCUUUCCGAAAUUCGACUUCCAUGACCACCGUCCUGCUAUCUUAGUCGACCAACACCCUUUGUGGGAUCUAGGUUAGCGUGCAAUUUGGCACCGUAACCUGGCUUUCGGUUAUCCGCAUAGCCAACUCUGCUUACCAAAAAUGACCCACUUGGAGCUCUUGAUUCCGUGGCGCGGCUCAAAAAAGCAGUCACGGCGUCCUACCUAUAUAAAGUUUGAGAAUAGGUCGAGGGAGUUGCGCCCCCGAUGCCUCUAAUUAUUGGCUUUACCUGAUAGAACUCGCACGCGAGCUCCAACUAUCCUGGGGGAAACUCCUGAGGGAACCAACUACUAGAUGGUUAGAUUAGUCUUUCGCCCAUAUCCCCAAGUUAGACGAACGAUUUGCACGUCAGUAUCGCUGCAGGCCUCCACCAGAGUUUCCUCUGGCUUCGCCCCUCUCAGGCAUAGUUCACCAUCUUUCGGGUCCCGACAGGUAUGCUCACACUCGAACCCUUCACAGAAGAUCAAGGUCGGACGGCGGUGAACUCCUCAUGGGGAUCCCACCAAUCAGCUUCCUUAUGCCUUACGGGUUUACUCGCCGUUGACUCUCACACUUAUCAGACUCCUUGGUCCGUGUUUCAAUACGGGUCGAAUGGGGAGUCCAGAGGCCAAUGUCCAGAGCGCGCAGAUGGGGAAGCAUGCCAGAGGCGCGCGCUGCCUACCACAAUCAAGGAGACGACAUUUCACGAGCAUAUCAUAAUCCCGGGAUUUGGCUGCCCCCCAAUCCAUACUGGUCCACACCCCGAAUCGAUCAGCAGACCGGCUCAACACCGUUCCACAUCUGACCAGGGUGCAUCGCCGGCCCCCAUCCGCUUCCCUCUACACAAUUUCUAGAACUCUUUGAAUCUCUUUUCAAAGUCCUUUUCAUCAUUCCCUCGUGGUACUUGUUCUCUAUCAGUCUCUCGCCCGUAUUUAGCCUUGGACGGAAUUCACCGCCUGAUUUGGGCUGCAUUCCCAAAUAACCCGACUCGUAGACAGCGGCUCGUGGUGCGAUAGGUUUCAGGCAGAACAGGACUUUCACAUUCAGAGCACUGGGUAGAAAUCACAUUGCGUAAACUUCCGCAGGGACCAUCGCAAUGCUUUGUUUUAAUUAAACAGUCAGAUUCUCCUUAUCCGUACCAGCCCUGAGUUGGCUGUUCGACGACCGGGGAAGGCCCUUGAAGGAACCGUUCCCCGUGUAUCCCCCGACCGGCACGCGGCGACCCGCUCUCAACGCAGGAGCAGCUCGAGCAGUCCACCAACAGCCGACGGGCUCGAGACUGGGACCCCCAUUCCCAGCCCUUAAGCUGGGCUGUUCCCUAUUCGUUCGCUGUUACUAGGGGAAUCCUUCUAAGUUUCUGUUCCUCCACUUAUUGAUAUGCUUAAACUCAACGUGUAGUCCCGCCUGACCUUGGGUCGCGGUCAGAGCGCCUAAGCGCGAUAAGGGUCGGGAACCCAAACAUGCGACGGGUUUGAGCCGCGACACUAUGAGAUUUGAGUUUCAACCACCACUUGUCGUGAAGUCCGUCGCUCUAGACUCGUAGUUAGGCCAACCGCAUGGCCGAGGCGCACGGGAGGCUAGUAUCCGUCUCACGACAGCAAUCAGACCAUAAGAAUGGGCGCGAUGUGCGGGGACGAUGCGAUGCGUGACACCCAAGCAGACAUGCCCUCGGCCUAAUGUCUUUGGGCGCAACUUGCAUUCAAAGACUCGAUAGUUCACGGGAUUCUAUAAUUCACACCAAGUAUCGCAUUCCGCUACGUUCUUCAUCGAUGCAAGAGCCGAGAUAUCCGUUGUCGAGAGACGUUUGUGUUUCAAAAGAAGCACAAGUCCCCCGUGCAUUCCGCAAACAGGGUACGAGGGGCAGUCUUUCAAUUUAGUAGUCCUUGGCGCUUUCCGCGCCAGGGUUCGUUUAUCACCCGGCACGCACGCAAGCGCGCGCGUUAGGGAUAUAGGAGGAAUCACCGUAAAUGGAGACCGAAGCAUCCAAUCGGUAGGAGCGACGGGCGGUGUGUACAAAGGGUAGGGAUGUAGUCUACGCGAGCUGAUGACUCGCGCUUACUAGGAAUUCCUCGUUAAAGACCAACAAUUGCAAUGAUCUAUCCCCAUUACAAUGAAAUUUCAAAGAUUACCCGGGCCUGUCGGCCAAGGCUAUGAACUCGAUGAAUACAUCAGUGUAGCGCGCGUGCGGCCCAGAACAUCUAAGGGUAUCACAGACCUGUUAUUGCCUCAAACUUCCGCGGAUCACAAUGAAUUAUCAAAGAUUACCCGGGCCUGUUGGCCAAGGAUAUAAACUCGUUUAAUACAUCAGUGUAGCGUGCGUGCGGACCAGAACAUCUAAGGGUAUCACAGACCUGUUAUAUACUCAAACUUCCGUGGCCCAAAAGGCCGUAGUCCCUCUAAGAAGCUGGCCGCGAAGGGAUACCUCCGCAUAGCUAGUUAGCAGGCUGAGGUCUCGUUCGUUAACGGAAUUAACCAGCUUCCGUGGCCCAAAAGGCCGUAGUCCCUCUAAGAAGCUGGCCGCGAAGGGAUACCUCCGCAUAGCUAGUUAGCAGGCUGAGGUCUCGUUAGUUAACAGAAUUAACCUGACUAAUCGUUCCACCAACUAAGAAGGGACAUGCACCAGCACCCAUAGAAUCAAGAAAGAGCUCUCAGUCUUUCAAUCCUUACUAUGUAUGGACCUGGUAAGUUUCUCCGUGUUGAGUCAAAUUAAGCCGCAGGCUCCACUCCUGCUGGUGCUCUUCCAUCAAUUCCUUUAAGUUUCAGCCUUGCGACCAUGCUCUCCCCGGAACCCAAAAACUUUGAUUUCUCAUAAGGUGUAGGCAGAGUCCUAAAAGCAACGUCCGCCGAUCCCCGGUCGGCAUCGUUUAUUUUUGGGGCUAGGAUGGUAUCUGAUCGUCUUCGAGCCCCCAACUUUCGUUCUUGAUUAAAGAAAACAUCCUUGGCAAAUGCUUUCGUAGUUGUUCGUCUUAUAUAAAUCCAAGAAUUUCACCUCUGAUUAUGAAAUACGAAUGCCCCUGACUGUUCCUGUUAAUCAUUACUCUGAUCCUGAAGGCCAACGUAAUAGGACCGAAAUCCUAUAAUGUUAUCCCAUGCUAAUAUAUACAGAGCGUAGGCUUGCUUUGAGCACUCUAAUUUCUUCAAAGUAACAGCGCCGGAGGCACGACCUGGCAAAUUAAGGCCAGGAGCGCAUCGCCGGCAGAAGGGACGAGACGACCGGUGCACACUAAAGGCGGACCAGCCGGCCCAUCCCAAAGACCCGGCUAAUUAAGGCCAGGAGCGCAUCGGCGGUAGAAGGGAUGAGACGAUCGGUGCACACCUAGGCGGACCGGCCGGCCUAUCCCAAAGUCCAACUACGAGCUUUUUAACUGCAACAACUUAAAUAUACGCUAUUGGAGCUGGAAUUACCGCGGCUGCUGGCACCAGACUUUCCCUCCAAUGGAUCCUCGUAAAGGGAUUUAGAUUGUACUCAUUCCAAUGACCAGACUCAUAAAGCCUGGUAUUGUUAUUUAUUGUCACCACCUCCCCGUGUCAGGAUUGGGUAAUUUGCACGCCUGCUGCCUUCCUUGGAUGUGGUAGCCGUUUCUCAGGCUCCCUCUCCGGAAUCGAACCCUAAAUCUCUGAGAGCUGGAAUUACCGCAGCUUCAGGCACCCGACUUGCCCUCCAAUGGAUCCUCGAUAAGGGAUCAGAUUGUACUCAUUCCAAUUACCAGACUCAUAAAGCCCGGUAUUGUUAUUUAUUGUCACUACCUCCCCGUGUCAGGAUUGGGUAAUUUGCGCGCCUGCUGCCUUCCUUGGAUGUGGUAGCCGUUUCUUAGGCUCCCUCUCUGGAAUCGAAACCUAAUUUUCCGUCACCCGUCACCACCAUGGUAGGUGUUACAGGGUCAAUUUUUUGAAAAAAUAGACACUGCACGGCAGCGGCACUCACAGCCACUCAGCCUUCACUUUUUCGCACACACAGUCUGACUUAGAAUUUUCAGACUUUAGCCAAACUAAGAACACACACAGAAUUUACGGGUAAAACCUAACCUUUAUUAACUCUCGCAUAAUAUACAAAGGACACUCGUUUUAGACUUGGCUCACAUAUGUAAUGCUACUUGCCUUCUUCGCAAACGAAGAUACAAUCUAUUUAGAGGGGCUUCCAAUGGAAGUUACAAAGGGGCAGUUUCUACCAUAUGCCAUGUACAUGCCUUAGGUGGUUAGGGGCAGUUGCUACCACGUCUUCCAGUUUGUAGCCAACCGCCCAUGUUCUUAGAUCAUGUUUUCAACUUCCAAGCACAUGUCCUUCGCACCACUUCGUCACAUGCCAUGCACGAUGGCCUCUAGCCUUGCCCACGUUUUCCUUGUCUCCUGCCCAGCUUUGCCUUGGACCUUGCCUCGCCCUUAAUUUCAUAGCCACGCCCUGCUAUGAAUUAUGUCAUCCCACCGAUCUGUGCAUGCCUUUGUCAAGUGCCAUGCUUCCAUUUGCCAUUUGCCGAUGCCCACGAACCAAGGCCGCCUUGCCAACACUCCACCUGCCUUGCCUAGCUGCCUUGCCUAAGUCCAUCAUCAACUUAGACACACGCCCAGCCUUGUACAUUGCUUCCCAAUGCUUCAACGAAGCCAUGUCAAGGGGAAAUGCACAAGCCCUUGACAUGAAUUCUGCCCGACAUCGGUCAAGCCAAUAUUAGGGGUCUAAAAAACCACCCCCACUCGUUGAACUCGAUGCUCUCGUCGAGGUUAAUCUCAUGUAGUCUUCGAUUUGAUCGUCAAACUGCCAUAAUGAAUUCCUUUUCUCCCAAGUUGCAUCUGACUCAAGCUUGCCUUUCCAUUGAACCAAAAACUCUGUUCUCCUAUUCUUUUUGUGCAUCCCAAAUAUCCGGUGGUCCAGAAUUUUAUCAAUCUCGUCCUCAAUCUGAUUGCGCACUUUAGAAGGAGCUUUCCUGAUUUUGUGCCUAUCUGGAUCUUCAGGAUCUCCCACAUAAGAGCGCAAGUAACUCACAUUGAAAGUAGGGUGAAUCAUCAUUCUUUCCGGUAGCUUCAACCGAUAAGCAACUUCGCCUACCUUCUCAACCACUUCGAAUGGACCAUCAUAUCUCGCAACCAAGGCUCUAUGCCUUACCCUGCUUUCUAUCUUUUUCCAGAUUUGCGGAGUAAGUUUCAGCAAUACCUUGUCGCCCACUUUGAACUCUAACAGACGUCAUGUGCUGUCUAUCUUUAUCCAAAUUUUCGGAGUAAGUUUCAGCAAUACCUUGUCCGCCACUUUGAACUCUAACGGCCGCCUAUGCUGACCAGCAUAUUUCUUCAUCCGUUUGUGUGUCACUUUCAAACUGUCUGCAGCUUCAUCCAUCAUCAUUUGCCUAUCAAACCCAUAACGAUAUGCUGCAAGACAUUUUCCACCAGUCCUUUGUUGCACCAUCUUCAUUGGUAGCCUUGGCUGCUUUCCCACAACGAUCUCAAAUGGGCUCUUCUCCGUGGAUGAAGACUUGUGCAAGUUGUAAGACAUCUGUGCACAAUCUAAUAAAUCAGCCCAAUUUCAUUUACUCGUAGUCACGAAAUGUCUCAAGUACUAGGACAUUUCCCACCAGUCUUUCACUGUACCAUCUUCGUAGGUAGUCUUGGCUGCCUGCCCAAAAUGAUCUCCAAUGGACUCUUCUUCGUGCAUGAAGACUUGUGAAGUUUUAAGACAUCUCUGCACAAUCUAAUAACUCAGCCCAAUUUCAUUGACUCACAGUCACGAAAUGCCUCAAGUACUCCUAUAGCAGAUGAUUGAUUCGUUCGGUUUGGCCAUCUGUUUGGGGAUGGUUCGUCGUAGAAAACUUCAAAUUUGUACCCAGCAAGUUGAACAAAUAAGUCCAAAACCUGCCUGUGAACCUUGCAUCCCGAUAACUAAUAACAUCCUCUGGCAUACCGAAAUGUUUCACCACGUGCUUAAAAAACAAUUAUGCAGCAACAUUAGAGGGACAUUCCGUUGGAGCAGCUAUAAAGACACCAUAUAUAGAAAACCUGUCAACCACCACCAUAAUCGAAGAUAGACCAUCUACUUUAGGAAACCCACUGAUAAAAUCCAUUGAAGCGGAUUUCCAUGUCUCUUCAGUAAUUGGCAAAGGUUGCAACAACCCCUCUUCUUUCAUCCGUUCAGUUUUAUUAAGCUGACAAACAAGACAGCUUCUCACAUAAGCUUCAACGUCCAGUUCCAUGUGUGGCCAGAAAUAAUAUCGCGACACCAGCGACAUCGUCCUCUUAAUGCCUGGAUGACCAGCCCAAAGUGUAUCAUGCGUCUCUUUCAACUGCUCAUGAGGCAGGUCGUCACCAAGUGGUACCACGGUUCUCCCCCCUUUGAAAUAGAUAAGAUCAUCCUCGAUCUAGUACCGUUGCAUAGUACCUUCCCUUACAUGAUUCAUUGUCUUUAUGUACAAUGGAUCAUUCGUAGCAGCCGACUUGAUUUUAUAAACAAAAUCUUACUCAAGUCUCGAGUGGAAUAAAUAGCAGUAAAGGCUUUCUUUCGACUCAAGGAAUCCGCAACUUGGUUGUGCUUUCCCGGUUUAUGCUCCAAUAGAAAAUCAUAUUCUGCUAAGAAUUCCUGCCAACGUGCUUGCUUUGGACUCAAUUUCUUCUAAGUUUUGAAGAAAGUAAUUGCCACAUUGUCCGUCCUUACGACGAACUUUGUUCCAAACAAGUAAACACGCUAGAUUUGUAAGCAAUGAAAAACAACAACCAUUUCUUUCUCAUGAGUCGAAUACCUUUGCUCUGCUUCAUUCAACUUUCUGCUUUCGUAGGCCACAAGAUGAUUGUGUUGAACCAGCAAGCCUCCAACAGCCUUGUCGGAUGCAUCUGUAUGGACUUCAAAUGGCUCAAAAUCAGCAAGCCGCAAGAUUGGUUCUGAGGCAAUGGCUUCUUUCAACACACCAAAUGCAGCACAAAAUUUUUCCGACCAAUCCCAUUUAACAUUCUUCUUCAACAAAUCCAUCAAAGAAGCAGCUUUCUUUGAGUAACCAGCAAUGAAUUUCUGAUAGUCCUUCUUCAACAAAUCCGUCAAAGGAGCAGCUUUCUUUGAGUAACCGGCAAUGGAUUUUCGAUAAUAGUUAGCCAACCCGAAGAAAAGAUCUCAAUACUUUCACACUUUUAGGUCCCUGCCACUCCACAAUGACCUGCACCUUGUUCGGGUCCAUUCGCACUUGAUUUUGGCUCACCAGAGUUCCCAAGAAAUUUGAUCUCCUAUUUAGCAAAUUCACACUUCUCCAUUUUCACAUACAACUUGUACUCCGUCAAACGAGACAACACUUUUAUUAAGUGUGACAUAUGUUCAUCCAAAUUCCGACUAUAGAUAACAAUGUCGUCUAAGUAGACAAUGACAAAGUCAUAUAAGUACUCAUACAGCACAUCAUAUAUGAGGUUGCAAAAUGUAGCAGGGGCAUUUGUCAAUCCGAACGGCAUAACAAGGAAUUCAUAUGAGCCAUACCUCGUAACACAAGUAGUCUUAGACUCAUCACCUUCAGCUAUCCGUACCUGCCAAUAACCAAACCCUAAAUCAAGCUUCGUGAACCAGCAUGUUUUGCUCAAUCUGUCCAUGUAGCUAUACGUACCUGCUAAUAACCCGACCGUAAAUCAAGCUUCGUGAACCAGCAUGCCUUGCUCAAUCUUUCCAUCAAGUCCUGCACCAACAGAACAGGAUAUUUGUUUUUCAGCAUCACCUUGUUCAGCGCCCUAUAAUCAACACACAUCCGUAGCAUCCCAUCCUGUUUCUUUUGAAAUAAAACAGGUGCACCAAAAGGAGAUUUAGAUUGCUGAAUCAGCCCCGCAUCAAGCAACUCGUUCAAUUUUUCCCGCAAUUCAGCCAACUCUUUUGGUGCCAUACAAUAAGGAGGUUGAGCAGGCGGCAUCAAACCCGGCAUCAACUCUAUCUUGUGAUCAAUAGCCCUCGGUGGUAGCAGCUUUUUGGGCGACUCCGGUGGCAUCACAUCAGUAAAGUCACUCAAAAUUUGAGCAACGGAGUCCAACACUUCAACCUUAACAUCAGGCUUCACUUCAACCACAACAGGAAGGAAAGUCUCAUCUCCCUUCUUAAAACCUUUUUCAACCAUCAUGGCAGAAACUAACAAACCCUUUUGUUGAGUUUCUUCUCUUCCAUAUGGAUAAACAGCUUUCACAAAACCAGGAGCCAUAUCAUUCAUGCUCAUCAAUCCGUCCAAGUGAGGCAUUGGAACAAAGCGAUGCUUCCGCAUGAAGUAAAUUCCGAGGAUCACCUCAAACCCCUCCAUAUGAAUCACCAUAAAACUCACCUUCCCUUUCCAGUCCCCAACAGACAUAGGAACAUCAUAAGCCAUGCCCUCAAUGGCUUGUCCUUCCUCUAAAUGAUAAGGUUAAAUAGACUUCUCGUGACGUGAAGGGAGGGGACGCCCCACGUCGCCGCGAUCCGAACAUUUCACCGGAUCAUUCAAUCGUUAGGAGCGACGGGAGGUGUAUACAAAGGGUAGGGAUGUAGCCAACGUGAGCUGAUGACUCGGGCUUACUAGGAAUUCCUCGUCGAAGACCAACAAUUUCAAUGAUCUAUCCCCAUCACGAUAAAAUUUCAAAGAUUACCCAGGCCUGUUGGCAGAGUCUAUAAACUCGUUGAAUACAUCAGUGUAGCGCGCGUGCGGCCCAGAAUAUCUAAAGGCAUCACAGACUUGUUGUUGCCUCAAACUUCCGAGGCCUAAAAGGCCAUAGUCCCUCUAAGAAGCUGGCCGUGAAGGGAUACCUCCGCAUAGCUAGUUAGCAGGCUGAGGUCUCGUUCUUUAACAGAAUUCACCAGACAAAUCGCUCCACCAACGAAGAACGGCCAUGCACCACCACCCAUAGAAUCAAGUAAGAGCUCUCAAUCCGUCAAUCCUUACUUUGUCUGGACCUGGUAAGUUUCCCCGUGUUGAGUCAGAUUAAGCAGCAGGCUCCACUCUUGGUGGUGCCCUUCCGUCAAUUCCAAUAAGUUUCAUCCUUGCGAAUAUUACUCCCCGAGGAACCCAAAAACAUUGAUUUCUCAUAAGGUGCUGGCGGAAUCCUAAAAGCAACAUCUGUCGAUCCCUGGUCGGCAUCGUUUAUGGUUGAGACUAGGAAGGUAUAUGAUCGUCUUCGAGCCCCCAACUUUCUUUCUUGAUUCAUGAAAACAUCCUUGGCAAAUGCUUUCGCAGUUGUUCAUCAUUCAUAAAUCCAAGAAUUUCACCUCAGACUAUGAAAUACGAAUGCCCCCGACUGUCCAUGUUAAUUAUUACUCCGAUCCCGAAGGCCAACGUAAAGGACGAAAAUCCGAUAAUGUCAUCCCAUACUAAUGCAUACAACGCGUUGGCUUGCUUUGAGCACUCUAGUUCUUCAAAGUAACAGCGCCAGAGGCACGACCCGGCCAAUUAAGGCCAUGAGCGCAUCGCCAGUAGAAGGGACAAGACGACCGGUGCACACCAAAGGCGGACCGGCCGGCCCAUCCCAAAGUCCAACUACGAGCUUUUUAACUGCAACAACUUAAAUAUACGCUAUUGGNNNNNNNNNNNNNNNNNNNNNNNNNNNNNNNNNNNNNNNNNNNNNNNNAACUGCUACAACUUAAAUAUACGCUAUUGGAGCUGGAAAUAACGCGGCUGUUGGCAGCAAACUUGCCCUCCAAUGGAUCCUCAUUAAGGGGUUUAGAUUGUACACAUUCCAAUUACCAGACUCAUAAAGCCCGGUAUUGUUAUUUAUUGUCACUACCUUCCCGUGUCAGGAUUGGGUAAUUUGCGCGCCUGCUGCCUUUUUUUGAUGUGGUAGCCGUUUCUCAGGAUCCCUCUCCAGAAUCGAACCCUAAUUCUCAAUCACCCGUCACCACCAUGGUAGGCCAUUAUCCUACCAUUGAAAGUUGAUAAGGCAAAAAUUUGAAUUAUGCGUCGCCAGCACGAUGACCAUGCGAUCCGUCGAGUUAUCAUGAAUCAUUGCAGCAACGGGCAGAGCCCGCGUCGACCUUUUAUCUAUUAAAUGCAUCCCUUCCAGAAGUCCUGGUUUUUUGCACGUAUUAGCUCUAGAAUUACUACGGUUAUCCGAGUAGUAGAUACCAUCAAACAAACUAUAACUGAUUUAAUGAGCCAUUCGCAGUUUCACAGUCUAUUAGCUCUAGAAUUACUACGGUUAUCCGAGUAGUAGAUACCAUCAAACAAACAAUAACUGAUUUAACGAGCCAUUCGCAAUUGCACAGUCUGAAUUUGUUCAUACAUACACAUGCAUGGCUUAAUCUUUGAGACAAGAAUAUGACUACUGGCAUGAUCAACCAGGUAGCAUUCCUCAUUGACGUCGGCAUCGCAUUAGCGUUGCCAACCCACAAAGGCACGGCGAAGUCCAAGGCCAGCACAACCAUCAUUCGUAAAGAGCAUUCUUUGGGCAGAUCGGAGCCAAUGAAGGCCCCGUGCCCAUUGCGUUUACCAAAUCCGAGAGAUCGAGCAUGCUAAGUCAUGGACCAAGCCAUCGCAAGGCGAAGCCAGGAUGCCCUGGGACACAAAUGCACCUUUUGGUUCUCCCCGCACGUCGAAUGCAAGGGGCGAAAUGCGACCAAUUAUGCUAGAUAUUGCCUUGGCAUUAGGUAUGCAACACAGAAAACCGACGUCGAACAAGCCUAAUUUGCGCUUGUGNNNNNNNNNNNNNNNNNNNNNNNNNNNNNNNNNNNNNNNNNNNNNNNNNNNNNNNNNNNNNNNNNNNNNNNNNNNNNNNNNNNNNNNNNNNNNNNNNNNNNNNNNNNNNNNNNNNNNNNNNNNNNNNNNNNNNNNNNNNNNNNNNNNNNNNNNNNNNNNCAUCUUGUAAUCGAUUGUGACAUGACUGAGAUGGCAUGAGAGCAAGGACGUCACUGCUCGAGCAGGGAACCAACCUAGGCACACAAGCCGAACACCACUCAUGUGCCGCACGUACACUUGCCUCGCCGAUACAAAGCCAACACCAGCUCCAACACGUGACACACAGCCAUGUGUUACUACCGAUGCCAACAUCGCAAAGCCAAGACAAGCACCGCAAAGCACGAAUAGGGUGUUUGAACAAUACCAGACACAACCCACAACAACCGAUGGCAAUAGGUAAUUUACUGAGCUUCGCCCCAUGCGCAUGGCACCUUACGCUACUACUUGCACGAUGCUUUGCCAUUCCGUUGUGAAAAGCCAUCAGUUGCCACGAGCGAUGUCGCCUUCCGAUGUUUCCCGCAAGAACUGAUGGCAAUCAACAACUUACUAAGCUAAGCUCCGUGAGCACGGCACCUUGCGGCGCUACUUGCACGAUGUUUUACCAUUUGUUGCCAAAAGCCAUCAGCUGCCAAAGCGAUGUUGCCUCCCGAUGUUUCCCGCUACAACCGAUGGCAAUCGACAACUUACUAAGCUUUGCCCCGUGCGCACAGCACCUUGCGGCGCUACUUGCACGAUGCAUUGCCAUUUUUUUGCCAAAAACCAUGAGCCGCCACGAGCGAUGUCGCCUCCCGAUGUUGCCCGCAACAACCGAUGGCAAUCAGUAAAUUACUAAGCUUCGCCUCGUGCACAUGGCACCUUGCGGCGCUACUAGCACAAUGCUUUACCAUUUUGUUGCCAAAAUCCAUCAGCCGCCAUGAGCGAUAUCGCCUCCCGAUGUUUCCCGCAACAACCGAUGGAAAUGAACAUCUACUGAGCUUCGCCUCGUGUACACGGCACCUUUCGACGCUACUUGCACGAUGCUUCGCCGUUUGUUGUCAAAAGCCAUAAGCCUCCACGUAGGGGGGUUUACAGACACAAACAACAAAAAUGGAUGGCAAAUGGCAACUUACUAUGCUUUGCCCAAUGGGCACGACACCUUGCGGCACUACUUGCACGAUGCUCCGCCGUUCCAUUGCCGAAAGCCAUCAACUGCCAUGAGCGAUGUUGCCCGCAAUAACAGAUGCAAAUCGACAUCUACUCAGCUUCGCCCCAUGCGCACGGCACCUUGCGGCGCUACAUGCAUGACGCUCACCUGUUCGUUGUCGAAAGCCAUCAGCCCCACGAUAGAUUCCUGAUAGAACCCACAACAACCAUUGGCAAUAAAAAACUUACUUAACUUCGCCCCAUGGGCACAACACCUUGCGGCGCUACUUGCACGACUCUUUGUUGUUCUGUUGUCAAAAGCUAUCAGGCCCCACGAGCGAUGUCGCCUCCCGAUUUUGCGUGCAACAUCCAAUGGCGAUCAACAAGUACUGCGCUUCGCCCCAUGCGCACGGCACCUUGCUGCGCUACUUGCAUGACGCUCCACCGUUCGUUGCCAAAAGCCAAUGUCUGCCACGAGCGGUGCCACCACCAGGCGAACUAAAAGCCCACACGAGUACUUUCCAGCGCGGCUUGGGAACAUCAGGACGUAGCACGGACAAGCCGUGCAUGCCCUCAAUGCCCACGCCCCAUGCCAGCGUCCCCAAUGCAUACCCGCCCCUUCCUGGCAGCAAGCACCUGAGGUACCUCUCAACACCAAAUAGCACAAACCAAAGUACAACUUGGCUAAUAUAUUCUCAAAUGACUUUUAAACAUUGUAAAUGAUAUUUUUUACAAAAAAAAUAUAUAUUUUUUAUUUUUUUAAAAACGAAAAAUACUUAAUAAAAUACUAAAAAAUAUGAAAAUUAUUAUAAAAAUAGAAAAAAAGAUGGAGAAAAAUUCAAAUACAUCUUGUAAUAAUAUUACAUAUAAAAGAGUAAAUAUUUAUAUUGAAAAGUGACAUAAAAAUAAUUUAAAAUAACAAAAAAUGCAUAAACAUUACUAAAAAAUAUAUAUAAAAAAAGGAAAAAUACAUAAUAUUAUUAUAAAAGCGUAUAGAUGAUAAACCUCCAAUAAGCACGAGGCACCUCCAUUGUCGCAACAACAACAAGGGAUUUCAAUUUGAAAAAACCGUCGCCAACCACAAAGUGUCGACAACCCGUCGCCGGUGGAUACCGCUCGAACCACCGCGACUUUCCACCACCGCAACCAACGACCACCAACAUCAUUGCGUAUGACAUGUUGCCCAACCACAACAAGUGAUUAGGAUUUGAAGCAACUGCCGCCAACCACCAAGCGUCGACCGACAGUCGCCGGAAGAUAUCGCUCGAACCACCCCGACUUUCCACCACCGCCGCCAACGAUCACCAACAUCAUUGCGCUUGACAUGUUUCUAAGCAUUGGUUAGCAAUAGACGUGGUGCGACGUGGUGCGUCUUUGAGCGACGUAGUGCAAUGUCGUGCCAUGGCCACAUCUUGACACAUACCAUGGCCAAGUCCUGACACGUCUUGACACGUACCAUGACCAUAACCUGCCAUGUCCUCCAUGGCAAUGUCUUGAUGCGUCUUAACACGUGCCAUGGCCAUGUCCUGACGCGUCCUGACAAGGUGCGACUUGGAGCGACGUGGUACGGCUUGGUGUGACGUCGUGCCAUGGCCAUGUCCUUACACGUCCUGACACGUACCAUGGCCAUAUCCUGCCAUGUCCUGCGACGUCUUGACUCGUGCCAUGGCCACGCCCUGCCAUGUACUGACACGUGCCAUGUCAAUGUCCAGACGCGUCCUGCGACGUCCUUACUCGUGCCAUGGCCACUCCCUGCCAUGUCCUGUGACGUCCCGACUCGUGCCAUUGCCACGCCUUGCCAUGUCUUGACGCGUCCUGACAUGUGCCGUAGCCAUGUCCUG
rnacentral:lncRNA from 1 species